UCUUGUUCCAAACCUAGAAAUCUCCUUCUAGAUCUCUUCAAACCUCAAAAUCUCAUAAAAUCGUGGAUCGCUCUCUUCAAAUUUUUUGAUCUCACAGCUUACUCUCUUGAUUUUCCCAAAUUCCAAACUCUAACCCAUAGAAUCCAUGAGAAACUCUCCAAAAUUAUCUUUUUCUCUUAGUUUUACUUCAAUCCACAUCCUUCUUCAUUUUCUUGACCAUUAUCCAUUCUCUCCUUGGGACAUGGCCCCC
rnacentral:lncRNA from 1 species